rnacentral:lncRNA from 1 species
GGCAACUCGAGCCAGCAUUGGCAACCCACUCGGGUCCCCUUCCACACUGUGGAAGCUUUGCUCUUUUGCUCUUUGCAAUAAAUCUUGCUAGUGCUCACUCUUUGGGUCCAUGCUGCCUUUAUGAGCUGUAACAUUUAUCGCGAAGAUCUGCAGCUUCACUCCUGAGCCCAGCGAGACCACAAGCCCACCAGGAGGAACGAACAACUCCAGACACGCUGCUUUAAGAGCUGUAACACUAACCGCGAAGGUCUGCAGCUUCACUCCUGAGCCAGCGAGACCACGAACCCACCAGAAGGAAGAAACUCUGAACCCAUCUGAACAUCAGAAGGGACAGACUCCCGACGCGCCACCUUAAGAGCUGUAACACUCACCGCGAGGGUCCGCAGCUUCAUUCUUGAAGUCAGUGAGACCAAGAACCUACCAAUUCCGGACACAAGGAGUUCGAGACCAGCCUGGCCAACAUGGCGAAACCCCCAUCUCUGCUAAAAAUACAAAAGUUAGCUGGGCAUUGUGGCGGGUACCUGUAAUCCCAGCUACUUGGGAGGCUGAGGCUGGAGAAUCACUGGAACCUGGGUGGUGGAGGUUG